CUUUACUGUAGCCUGGUAUUGGGUUCGGGCUUUGACUGCGCAGGAUAGGGGGGAGACUGAGAAGUGUGCCUUGUGGGGCACAUAGAGUCAACGGUGAGAUACCACUAUGUCAGAGCUAGAAUUCUAACCUUCACACGUGAUCCGGGGAAGGAACCGUAUCAGGUGGGCAGUUUGACUGGGGCGGUCGCCUCCUAAAAGGUAACGGAGGCGCGCAAAGGUGUUCUCAGGCUGGUUGGAAAUCAGCCGUAGAGUGUAAAGGCAGAAGAACGCUUGACUGUGAGAGUGACAACUCAAGCAGGGUGGAAACACGGCCUUAGUGAUCCGACGGUAUGCGCGUGGAAGUGCCGUCGCUCAACGGAUAAAAGUUA
rnacentral:rRNA from 1 species